CCCGCGGGCGCGGGGCGAUUUCCUUCCGCGCAGGAGCGGGCGCGGGCCGCGCCCCCGCACCCGAGCGCAGCCCCGGGAAGCGGCCGGAGGGGACCGUCGCGGCCGCGGGGUCGGUCCCUCCCGGAGUGGCUGUGACAGCAGCGACGGCAACAGCUUCUACGCAGUGGGUGAUGUCUCAUUUCGCCACAGUACCCGCUAGCCGAAUUCUCAAAAAUAAGGAGAUGGAAUAAUUGGACUCUUUCCUUUGUGGCUGUGGAUACAUCCCUAAUCACAUUCUCUGAGACCCUGCUGGAGGGACUGAGCAAUGGACCAAAAGACAUGGAAAAAGACGAUGAUAAAAAGACAAGAGGGAGAACCGAGUAAAAAUAUGGAGAUGACGAGAGACAGAGCAGAAUGUGGAGAGAGGGUAAUAGAGGGAGCUGCAGCACAUGAGCAAAAGAGAAUGGACAGAGAAAAAGAAUGAAGCUUGAUAUGUAGGGGUAACAAAAGGCUUAAAUGACAAAAGGAUUAUUUGCCUCAGUUUCUGCUCAGAGAGAUUGUUGCAAGUAGCUGCCUGUCCCUUGCGGUAGGCAUUUCAUUAAAAAAAAACAACAAACAAACCCUGUUACUAUCACCCAAGUCAUAACAAAAAGUAAAGAACAGGGUGGAGGGCCAUGAAACUUGUAAUUUAAGUCGAUGUUCAUCUAGUAGGCAUGCUCUAUCCAGAAUGACAGCAAAGGUGGUACCAUGUUGCCAUUACUGGAUCUCAAGCUGGUGAAGGGAGAGACAUCUAGGGGAGUACUGAUGCCAUUACUCUUUUGAAAGAUGCCAUGAGCCACAAUAGGAUUUCAAAAUCUUGUGGAGUUGCUGAGACUUCCUAGCUCAUUCGUUAUUUUCCAUUUGACCUCCAAAAUGGAGAUCAAACUGAGCGUUUUUCCCUGUGGUUUAGUCAGGAUCAGUGCCUCUUCCUUCACCACCUCAGAUUCCUCAGGAGAAAGAAAUAGCUGUAAGUGAUGAGUCUUAUUCUCACUCACCCCUGCUCAAGACCUUGAGAGACUGUAAGGUUCCUGUUCUGCCGAGUGGUGUAUGCUGGAAUCCUGA